GCACAAGCGGUGGAUGAUGUGGUUAAUUCGAUGCAACGCGAAAACCUUACCACCUUUGACAUGUACGGAAUCCUUUAGAGAUAGAGGAGUGCUCGAAAGAGAACCGUAACACAGGUGCUGCAUGGCUGUCGUCAGCUCGUGUCGUGAGAUGUUGGGUUAAGUCCCGCAACGAGCGCAACCCUUGUCAUUAGUUGCUACAUUCAGUUGGGCACUCUAAUGAGACUGCCGGUGACAAACCGGAGGAAGGUGGGGGAUGACGUCAAGUCCUCAUGGCCCUUAUAGGUGGGGCUACACACGUCAUACAAUGGAUGGUACAAAGGGUCGCCAACCCGCGAGGGGGAGCCAAUCCCAUAAAGCCAUUCGUAGUCCGGAUCGCAGUCUGCAACUCGACUGCGUGAAGUCGGAAUCGCUAGUAAUCGUGGAUCAGAAUGUCACGGUGAAUACGUUCCCGGGUCUU
rnacentral:rRNA from 1 species